rnacentral:lncRNA from 1 species
UUUUUUAUCUUUCCCACUUAAGGGCAGUAAAAUGCGAAAAAUCUUCCAUUUUCAUGCUAAUCACUGAUUACAAUUCAUCUUAUCGCUUAAUUGAAAAUUGGCCAUUUAAUACUUGAGCUUUGUUUGAUAUAAACAAAUAUUGAAACAUGUUCAGACUAGGUAAAUAGCGCCUAUACAAAUUUAAAUAUAGUUCGUCCACUACUCCACUGGGCAGAUGCAACAAAUGCUAUUUUAUUUCAGAAGCACUGCUAUUCGUCGAAAAAGAUCAAGUUUCAAGGGCAAGGAACAGCUCAGAAUUCCGAAAAAACAGUCAGUCAGUCACAGCCUGUGACUCACAGGCCUGAUCACAUUAAAGAAAAUAUCGGAGACGGCUGUUACUGCUGUUCCCGACAAUUUCUGUUCAUUCUGACUUUUUUCCAUCUUCCAUACAAAACCUUACUACUUCACGAGAAUAAAAUAUCUCGCUUUGUUGAAAUAUCGAAAUACCAUGUUGAACUGGCCCUGACCAGCAUCGUAGGCGAGCCCUGUUAUUUCAAAUCACAUGUUAUUUUAAUGAUGAUCGAUGUCUGUUCCAAAAUACCUGUGACAAGUAUUUCGUGUCAUCCCUAAUCCCUAACUCGCUCACUUUCCAAAUUUGCCGGACAAGUUCGGACGUGUUCUGUAUUGUUCUAUAGUGUUCUCCUGAGCAGCUCGGUGAUGCCAAGCGGGCCUCCGAAGCAUUCCCAGGCCAUAGAUGAGUCCCCAUUUUCCAGUCAAACUUGCCUAGUUCAGUUCUAAAUGAUGAUUCCAAUAGACAAGCAUAUGGCUGAAUUUGUACUGUCGAUUAAUUUGCACUGAUUGUUAAGGCUUAGAAGUAGAAUGCGUUUUGCGGGGCUUUGCUGGUGGUUAAAUGAGUUCGUUUUGCAGGCUUUUCAUCAUGGCGGACGCUCCGGUUGCUUCAGAAAACUUCAUUAUGGACUCCAAAGGAGCUUCGCACGUGGAGGCGCUUUCAUUGCUGCAGGUCUGGCGUAGUUGAAAGGAGUUUUGCAGUCUAGAAUGAGCAAUGAGUGAAGACUGCAGAGACUAACUAGGUGUGGGAGAAUGGAGACACUGAGUCUUCGUCGGAGACCCAAAAAGGUUCUUUGUCCAGUAGUAUCCAGUCAAUCGAUGGUUCCGUACUGAAUUCCUCCUGAUUUUGCGGGUGGUGAAGCUGGGCGACAUUGAGAACCAACAGCAACGGCACUGACCAAGGCACCACACAAGGGAGGCAACAAAAGUAAUUUCUGAUCUUCUACGUAGAUUAGCACCAUAUUUUCCUUAGUUAUAAUGAUUCUUCAAAUAUACGCUAUGAAUCAUUUGGUGAUGUCAUCUAAGUUCUGAAUGAUACUUUAAAGUUUUUGUAUAAAUUAGUGGUUUGAGCCUGAUUUGAGAUUGAAAACCCUGAUGCAAGAAGGGGAUAAGUAACAUUUAUUGGCUUUUACGCGUGACAAAAAAAUACGUUUUAAAAAGUAUUUAAAUGUUACUCAAGGCAGAGACCGAAAGUUUAAAUAUUUUGGUGUACAUUAGAUAAAGUUAUUCUAAAAAAUAAACUAGAAAUAUAGGAAAAAUGGUUUGGUUAUUCUAUAAUAUGGCAAAUUUCCAGUCAAGAUAUUUCAAAUUAACUAACGGUAAAGGUGGGAGAUAAAUCCGAAAGUAUUAAAAAAGACGGGUUUUAUUUAGAAAACAAUAUUCGGUAACUAACACAGGUUUUUGACGCACCAUCUACAUUGAAAACUAAUUUUAGAAUGUGCACCAAUAUCAAAAAUUUUCGUCGAGUCCACACGAAAGUAUUGGAAACUAUUUGCUCAAAUACUAUGUCAAAGGAAAGAAUGGAAACCACAGAUUAUGUUGAAACUCUGUUUAUAACACAGUAGGAAUAAACAAGACACUAGUUUUAAAAUACAGUUCCAAUCGCUUAGCAGUAGAUGCUAAAACUAAGCUACAAAUCUAGAAAAUCUUAAUAUUUAUAAAGUACACUUUGGGUUGCACGCUAGAAAACUAUGUAUAUUACUGUAGAUACUUUUACAAUCUUAGAUUUUAACAAUAAUUCAGAGUCAUAGCUAUUAUAUUGUGGACCCGUUCUUCCGAAAUAUGUUUUACUCAUAAUGAUAGCUGAAAAUAUAAAAAAGGUCCUUUUAAGAAAUUUCUUCAGCAAAUACGUGUGGAAUUUUGAAAUUUUGCAUCCAUUUUCAUGUAAAUGUAUCUCACAAAUGUCUUCAUAAAAUAUUUUAACAAUACUGUUACAAAAUUCGAGCUUUACUGAAAUUGCGUAUUUUUGGAAACAAUAAAUUAUUUGAUAUAUUCUUUC